rnacentral:rRNA from 1 species
AACGAACGCUGGCGGCAUGCCUAACACAUGCAAGUCGAACGAUGCUUUCGGGCAUAGUGGCGCACGGGUGCGUAACGCGUGGGAAUCUGCCCUUGGGUUCGGAAUAACAGUGAGAAAUUGCUGCUAAUACCGGAUGAUGUCUUCGGACCAAAGAUUUAUCGCCCAGGGAUGAGCCCGCGUAGGAUUAGCUAGUUGGUGGGGUAAUGGCCUACCAAGGCGACGAUCCUUAGCUGGUCUGAGAGGAUGAUCAGCCACACUGGGACUGAGACACGGCCCAGACUCCUACGGGAGGCAGCAGUGGGGAAUAUUGGACAAUGGGCGCAAGCCUGAUCCAGCAAUGCCGCGUGAGUGAUGAAGGCCUUAGGGCUGUAAAGCUCUUUUACCCGGGAUGAUAAUGACAGUACCGGGAGAAUAAGCUCCGGCUAACUCCGUG